rnacentral:lncRNA from 1 species
AUCCUCAAUAUCUUUAAGACAUACAUUCCAAAGGACUUUGCUUCUCUCUACCAGAGCUGGGGGGCCAGUGGCCCUGCACUCGAGCACAGAGGGACGCUCCGGACGCAGGCCCACCAGGGAGACUUCGUCUGCGUGGAGUGUGGGAAGUGCUUUCAUCAGCCCAGCCACCUCAGGGCCCACAUGAGGGCUCACACAGUGCUGUUUGAGUCUAAUGGCCUCCGAGGUGCUGACAUCCACGGCGCAUCUGCUGACGUCCCCAAACAAGGGAGAGACCAUCCUAACGCAGAUACUGUCCAGACAGUGCCUCUCAGAAAGGGAACCUAGAGACACGCUUCCAACAACCGGUGCCCGGUGACGGCCCCCCCACCGUGGGUGUCCCCACAGCCCCCAGGCCUGUGGUUGGGGCGGCUUGAUAUACCUCUUCCUCAGAUGCAAGUUUUAGUGGUGGGGUUAAGGCCCGUCACAAGGGACCUUAAACCUUGCAGUGUACGCAAAGUUGUAUUCCACAGAUAUAAAUAUUUUCUUUUCCUUUUACCGUGACACUAUGUGUGAUGGUAAUAUUUCUGAAAGUUUCAGAUUUUUGCACAUAAUGAUUUUAUGCAUUAUCAAAAGUUACUGCUGCCUUGAAUGAAAAUGUUCUGUGAAAUUUUUUGCAAAAGCUUUACUAGGUUUUUUUUUAAUUGUGACAUUUUGUAAAGGCAGGAAAUGGAUUAAAAUAAGCAUGCUAAAUAUAUUUUUCAAAAAAGCAAUAAUUUUACAUGUAUAGAAAUUAUCCUAACCUUUAAUACUGGUGAGAGCGACAGUUUACUUAAUACAGUAAUGGAUUAGUGCAGUUUUUGUAGAAAAUGGGCUUCUGAUACAAAGACUUGUUUAAACACACACACACACACACACACACACACACACACACACACCCACCCCUGAAGUGUGGUUUUCCUGUUCUAAUGAUUUGUUGAGUUUUAUUAUUAUUAUUAUUAUUGUUGUUGUUGUUGUUGUUCUUAGUUACUGUUUGGUUUCUGGAUUCUACUUGUUACUGAAUUUAAAUUACUUGACGGUUCAGGUUACCUUGCAACAUUUGCAAACAAUGCAAUGUAACUGGCUAGCUUCUAUAUAUAUAUAUUAUAUACAUGUAUACACACACACAUGUAGACACAGAGAUAUGUGCGUGUGUGUGUAUAUAUAUAAUUUUUUUACUUAUUUUUUCCUGCUUCUCUUUUGCUGGAUAUGUUCCAGAACGAUCUGUCCUGUUGGUGUGUUCCGAGGGUCUGUGCAGAUGCUCCUCAGCCACUGUCCUUGACUGUUCUGUAAAGUUACUUUGAGCAAAGUUGCAGACACAUUCCCCUGCUCACCUUCAAAAUCAAAAUGCCACUCUGUUGACUUCCGUUUGAUCCUGUCUCUGGCCUCCCCACGGUGGUCAUUUCUGCAUUUUCUUGGCUGAAAGUGAAGGGUGACAGUUCAGGAGCGCACAGGGGCUAGAGCUGCGGGCUGUCUGUUUCUCUGCAUUUUAGUUAUUAAAAGGAACUCUGGACCCAAAGUGACACAGAUGAGUCAUGUACCUUCUUGCUGUUUCAGAAGCAGCCUGUGGAGUCACAGUGUCACCCCGGGGGCUCCUUUGCAGGGGCCUGGGGGAGAGAGGGGGCACAUCCCCAGGGAAAACCGUGUGCUGCCAGGAGCACAGAUGGAAGGUUUUCACUUAAUUCAGCAGGCAGGGAAGGGACCCCAGAGAAUGCCACCCUCUGAGAGAAGCCCUUUGCGGGAGACUGUGGCCCCUCCCUCUUUCACUGCCCAUCAGUAUUUUAUUGGUUUGUUAAUGCAUUUAUGUCAGUUCAACCAUAGUAUUUAAUAUGAUUUGUGUUUUCUUAUUUAUUUAGCUGAUAUGUCUUGAUUCGCUUUUUUUUCGAAUGAUAAUUUCCGCAUGGUCUCUCCUGUAAGUCACCUUCUGACUGUUACAGACUUUCUACCUCUACCAAUCUGCUGUUUCCUUGUUUCUUAACAGGAUUUCACAGUGUUGGCGUCCAGUGUAACUUAGACAAUAAAGGGUUUGGUUGUCUACACUGCAGCUUCUCCUGGUUGUCUACACUGCAGUUUCUCUGUGUGGCGCCCUACCCCCACCUACGCCCUCCCUUCCCUGCUCACACCUCUUAUUCAUUGUCGCGCUCAAAUAAUACAGAUAAUGAGCUUAUAGAAAUCUUUCAGGUUAUUCACUCAUAUUCCUUAAUUUGAAGAAUGAACAUUGAAAUGCUCUAAAAAAAAAUCAGCUGUUUAGCAUCUAAACCCGGUCAUUGUCCACUGCUCUGUCACUUCUCUUACCUGGUUCCUGCAAGGGCUUAGGGUGAUCUCAGAGGCUACCUUUCACCUGGGUGAUUUACAACACAAUACUGAUUUGCAAGCCAAACCGGAUUUUUGCCUUUUUAGGAAAAGUAUUCAGUGCUUUAAGAGAUUCCCCCCUAAGAUUUCCUUAUUUAUUUUUAAACCAAGAGAGACACUAGUUUCUUGAAACCCAGGUGCUCCAGCAAAGGGCCCCGGGAAUUACACAGGCCACUUUGGUGAAGUUAGGGAGCACUGAUUUUGCCCAGUACGUCAAGAGCCAUCCUCAAAUUUGGCCAUUCUGUCCCAGGCCAUACAGUGUUGCACAAACAUGACGUAAAGGCACAUACACACGCAGGGUCCUCACUCCGCAAGUCCCUGGGACCCCGAGCUGAGGGGGUUGGAUGCAGCAGGUUGCAGGCAUUGCCUCUUGCUGCCUCCCCAGGGAGCUGGCUCAGGUAGCUGCACCAUUCCACCGGGAGUUAGCGAGUGGCUCAGGGGAUGUGUCUUCUGUUCUCAGAAAGGUCUGGGCUUGAAAGGACACUGCACCUCCUGGGGUUUCUUGUCCAGAUGCUCUGUACCAAUGUUCCAUCUUUAAAACAGACAUGGCCCCGCCCUAGAGGUUUGCACGAGGCACAAAAGAGGACUGCGUUCGCCUGCCUUGACUUUCCCACUUUCAGCAUGUCUCCGUGUCUGAAGGAGCGGCGAUUGUUUCACUGCUUGUAACUUGGCUGGGUUCUAAGAACGUUUUACAUGCUGAGCAAAAAAGAAAGAAAACGCAAGUCACAGACCAGGACAUCCAGUGACGUUCCGGUGCUCUGUAGCGUGUCUCUGUGAAGUGACCGAGGGGAAAUGUUCAUUCUUCAACUUUGCUAAUUAUGCUUUGAGGCAGUAAAAUGCAAAAGACCAUAGAAUUUGUAUUUCUUUUUAAAAAUACAAUUUAUAACAUUAUAUUUUGUACUCUUUUAUAUUAGAAUUUGUAACUAGAUUGAUGUAUUUAACUCUAUUUCUGAAAAAAUAAUUCAAUGUUUCAGUUGUGUGAUAAAAAUAUUUAGAUAAAACAUAUUCAUUCUAUUGGAAUUUGAAAUCAAUAAAAACAUCUUGGAGUUCU